CCUUUCCUUUGUACAUGGUGUCGUGACCUCCGAAGCUGCUUUAAAGCUCACAAAUCUGCUUCUUCCUUCAAAACGUUGGCUAUACACCUCAAAAGUUGCUUCACAAAUCUGCUUCUUCCUUUCAAAACUCUCGACGAGCAGCUUCUUCCUUCUCAUCUUUGUGCUUUCAGAAUACUCGCUCGCAGAUCUGCUUCUUCUUCCUUCCGUUAGUCAAGCGAUGCCAUCCAGCAGCUCAUCUCUACUAUGUUGAAGCACCUCCGGCCGAUCUCCAACCCUCCAUCGUCCGUUCUAGCUUCCACUAUGUCGAAGCUCUGAAGUGGUUCUUCUCCCUGACGCAUCUCGAUCUCCACCAUGUCCACCAAAUUUGCACUUCCUAUCACCAGAUCUACUCCCCAUCACCUGUCCUUGCCAAGUAAGGGGAGAGGAAUAUGGGAAACCCAUAACUUAGGCAGUGAAGAAUGGUAUAGGGUGGUAAUUCAACCUUAGCACGUUAUAUCUCACCUCAACCUUUAAUUGAUGUUUAUUUUAGGUGAGUUAUCAGUUUAAUGUCAUUGACUUGAUUGAUACAUUUAAAAAUAUGGCAUAUAGCUCUCUUCUAAGGAAUUUAUUGAUAAAAAGGCUCCAUGAAUUUGAAAAAUGCCAAACUGAAAAUCUGAAAAUAAGAGUCUUUUGGUAAAUUGUGAUACAUAUAUGUAGAAAUAUAUAUUGAUUUUGCAUGUUUGUGAUGGCUAACUAGUCUAUACAACAAUGAAUAGCAAUAAAGGAAAAGCUGUGUGGAAUUCAACUUUGACAAAAAAUUUCAUUAAAGAAUGCUUGGAACAAGUGUACAAGAAAUAAAGGAAAGGAACUGCUUCCAACAAAAAUGGUGGCAGGCAAUAAUUGAGGGGUUUGAGGCAAAAAUAGGAAAAAUGUAUGAGCGAAAGCAAUUGAAAAAUAAGCUAGAUAACAUGAGGAAAGAAUGGAACGUAUGACAUAAGUUGUUUUCAAGGUGGGACAGUGACAAGAAUAAUGUUAAUACUUCAGAUGAGUGGUGGGAGCAAAAAAUCUUGGUAUAGAUUAGUUGUUAAGUGUUUUUAAGAUUAGAAUUUAAUUUGAGAAUUUUAAUUGUUGGUUAUUUGAAUGGUUGCAGAAAAAUCCUCUUUAUGAAAAAUUUAAAUAUAAAGGUCUGAGAUUUGCAAGAGAAUUAACUUUGAUAUUCAAGGAUGUCCUGACGAUUGGGGAAACACUUUUUAUACCAUCUACUACCCAGACCCAAAUAGAGGAUGAUGAUGAUGAGGAUGUGUACCACCCUACUAUUGACCUUCAGGAAGGCUCCGGUAAUAGUGAAGAGGAGCUAAAUUUAUCUAACACCACAGCACCUACGAGGGUCACCGAUGAGUUGUUGGGCUUAAAUAUCACCACAAAUAUCAAUGGAACUAGUGGUGACGGAAGUCAAGGCAAGAGAAAAAGGGUGGUAGGCGUUGGUGGGAGGAAAAAGUAAAAGGUCCCUGCAUCAAUAAAAAUAGUAGAUGCGAUGAGUAAAAUGGCUAAGAAUAAUAGAGCUAGAACAGAGACAGUAAACAAGAUUUUGGCAAAUGACAUAAGAGUUUCUAAGGUUGUGGCUUACCUAAAUGGACUCCCAGAAGUUUUUGGUGAUAAAGAUUUGCAUUGAAGAUGUGUCAAUCUUGUUUUGUACAAGCCUAUGCGAGAUCCUUACUGGCAACUCAAAGAUCAUCCUGAUCACUUAGUUAAUUGAUUAAAGCACCAACUCUACCAUCUACUAGAUUUUAUUUCAAAAAAUACAUCUAGAUGAAUUUUUAUCUAGGCUUAUGAUGACUUGACUUGUGUUUGACUUGUAGUUGCUUUAUUUUGACUUGUAUUUGACUUGUAGUUGCUUUAUUUUGACUUGUAAUUUGCUAUACAAAUGAUGACUUAGUUUGUAGUGAAUAUUUAACUCUUAUCCAA